rnacentral:snoRNA from 2 species
AGCACGUUCCUUAAGUCCACCUUUUGAAACUAUGACGAUUAACGAAAGUUUCAGCUGAUUUGCUAUCAGUUAUAAAAGGUGAAUGAGUCAUAGGCGUGCUAGAUUAAAUUUUACUGUUACAAAUCAUCAAAAACAGU